rnacentral:rRNA from 1 species
ACGCACGCUGGCGGCGUGCCUCAUCCAUGCCAUUUGAGCGCUGAAGGUUGGUACUUGUACCGACUGGAUGAGCAGCGAACGGGUGAGUAACGCGUGGGGAAUCUGCCUUUGAGCGGGGGACAACAUUUGGAAACGAAUGCUAAUACCGCAUAAAAACUUUAAACACAAGUUUUAAGUUUGAAAGAUGCAAUUGCAUCACUCAAAGAUGAUCCCGCGUUGUAUUAGCUAGUUGGUGAGGUAAAGGCUCACCAAGGCGAUGAUACAUAGCCGACCUGAGAGGGUGAUCGGCAACAUUGGGACUGAGACACGGCCCAAACUCCUACGGGAGGCAGCAGUAGGGAAUCUUCGGCAAUGGACGAAAGUCUGACCGAGCAACGCCGCGUGAGUGAAGAAGGUUGUCGGAUCGUAAAACUCUGUUGGUAGAGAAGAACGUUGGUGAGGGUGGAAAGCUCAUCAAGUGACGGUAACUACCCAGAAAGGGACGGCUAACUACGUG